UAGGGAAUCUUCCACAAUGGGCGCAAGCCUGACGGAGCAACACCGCGUGAGUGAAGAAGGGUUUCGGCUCGUAAAGCUCUGUUGUUAAAGAAGAACACGUAUGAGAGCAACUGUUCAUACGUUGACGGUAUUUAACCAGAAAGUCACGGCUAACUACGUGCCGG
rnacentral:rRNA from 1 species